rnacentral:rRNA from 1 species
AUACGGAGGGUGCAAGCGUUAUUGGGAAUCACUGGGCGUAAAGGACGCGUAGGCGGGUUGGCAAGUCAGAUGUGAAAUCCUACAGCUUAACUGUAGAACUGCAUUUGAAACUGCUAACCUAGAGUAUGGGAGGGGGAGAUGGAAUUAGUGGUGUAGGGGUAAAAUCCGUAGAUAUCACUAGGAAUACCGAAAGCGAAGGCGAUCUCCUGGAACAUAACUGACGCUAAGGCGUGAAAGCGUGGGGAGCAAACAGGAUUAGAAACCCCUGUAGUCC